GAUGAACGCUAGCGACAGGCUUAACACAUGCAAGUCGAGGGGCAUCGGGACGUAGCAAUACGUUGCCGGCGACCGGCGGAUGGGUGAGUAACGCGUAUGCAACCUGCCCACGACAGGGGGACAGCCCGUUGAAAGACGGAUUAAUACCCCAUAAAACAGGGGUUCCGCAUGGGACUAUUUGUUAAAGGGUUUUCCGCGAGGGGGAUCCGGUUGUGGAUGGGCAUGCGUUCCAUUAGGCAGUUGGUGAGGUAACGGCUCACCAAACCGACGAUGGAUAGGGGAACCGGGAGGUUGGUCCCCCACACUGGUACUGAGAUACGGACCAGACUCCUACGGGAGGCAGCAGUGAGGAAUUUUGGUCAAUGGACGGAAGUCUGAACCAGCCAAGUCGCGUGAAGGAAGGCGGCCCUAAGGGUUGUAAACUUCUUUUGUAAGGGAAUAAAGGCCGGUACGUGUUACCGGUUUGCAGGUACCUUACGAAUAAGGAUCGGCUAACUCCGUGCCAGCAGCCGCGGUAAUCACGGAGAGUA
rnacentral:rRNA from 1 species